rnacentral:rRNA from 1 species
AGUGAACGCUGGCGGCGUGCUUAACACAUGCAAGUCGAACGAGAACGGAUUAUAGCUUGCUAUAAUUGUCAGCUAAGUGGCGCACGGGUGAGUAAUGUAUAGGUAAUAUGCCUCUUACUAAGGGAUAACAAAUGGAAACGUUUGCUAAUACCUUAUACUCCUUAUUAACAUAAGUUAAUAAGGGAAAGAUUUAUUGGUAAGAGAUUAGCCUGUAUUGUAUCAGUUAGUUGGUGGGGUAAUGGCUUACCAAGGCUAUGACACAUAACUGGUUUGAGUGGAUGAUCAGUCACACUGGAACUGAGACACGGUCCAGACUCCUACGGGAGGCAGCAGUGGGGAAUAUUGCACAAUGGACGAAAGUCUGAUGCAGCAACGCCGCGUGGAGGAUGACACAUUUCGGUGCGUAAACUCCUUUUAUAUGAGAAGAUAAUGACGGUAUUAUAUGAAUAAGCACCGGCUAACUCCGUGCCAGCCGCCGCAGUAA